UAGGGAAUCUUCCACAAUGGACGCAAGUCUGAUGGGGCAACGCCGCGUGAGUGAAGAAGGUCUUCGGAUCGUAAAACUCUGUUGUUAGAGAAGAACACGAGUGAGAGUAACUGUUCAUUCGAUGACGGUAUCUAACCAGCAAGUCACGGCUAACUACGUGCCAGCAGCCGCGGUAAUACGUAGGUGGCAAGCGUUGUCCGGAUUUAUUGGGCGUAAAGGGAACGCAGGCGGUCUUUUAAGUCUGAUGUGAAAGCCUUCGGCUUAACCGGAGUAGUGCAUUGAAAACUGGAAGACUUGAGUGCAGAAGAGGAGAGUGGAACUCCAUGUGUAGCGGUGAAAUGCGUAGAUAUAUGGAAGAACACCAGUGGCGAAAGCGGCUCUCUGGUCUGUAACUGACGCUGAGGUUCGAAAGCGUGGGUAGCAAACAGGAUUAGAUACCCUGGUAGUCCACGCCGUAAACGAUGAAUGCUAGGUGUUGGAGGGUUUCCGCCCUUCAGUGCCGCAGCUAACGCAAUAAGCAUUCCGCCUGGGGAGUACGACCGCAAGGUUG
rnacentral:rRNA from 1 species